AUUGAACGCUAGCGGCAUGCCUUACACAUGCAAGUCGAACGGCAGGCACGGGGGCAACCCUGGUGGCGAGUGGCGAACGGGUGAGUAAUGCAUCGGAACGUGCCCAUCGAUGGGGGAUAACUGCGCGAAAGCGUUGCUAAUACCGCAUACGACUUACGGGUGAAAGCAGGGGACCGCAAGGCCUUGCGUCGAUGGAGCGGCCGAUGCCGGAUUAGCUAGUUGGUGAGGUAAAGGCUCACCAAGGCGACGAUCCCGUAGCUGGUCUGAGAGGACGACCAGCCACACUGGGACUGAGACACGGCCCAGACUCCUACGGGAGGCAGCAGUGGGGAAUCUUGGACAAUGGGCGAAAGCCUGAUCCAGCAAUGCCGCGUGUGGGAAGAAGGCCUUCGGGUUGUAAACCACUUUUGGCGGGAAAGAAAUGGUCUGUGCUAAUACCACGGAUUGAUGACGGUACCCGCAGAAUAAGCACCGGCUAACUACGUG
rnacentral:rRNA from 1 species